GAUGAACGCUGACAGAAUGCUUAACACAUGCAAGUCAACUUGAAUUUGGGUUUUUAACUUAGGUUUGGGUGGCGGACGGGUGAGUAACGCGUAAAGAACUUGCCUCACAGCUAGGGACAACAUUUGGAAACGAAUGCUAAUACCUAAUAUUAUGAUAAUAGGGCAUCCUAUAAUUAUGAAAGCUAUAAGCGCUGUGAGAGAGCUUUGCGUCCCAUUAGCUAGUUGGAGAGGUAACGGCUCACCAAGGCGAUGAUGGGUAGCCGGCCUGAGAGGGUGAUCGGCCACAAGGGGACUGAGACACGGCCCUUACUCCUACGGGAGGCAGCAGGGGGGAAUAUGGGACAAUGGACCGAGAGUCUGAUACAGCAAUUCUGUGUGCACGAUGAAGUUUUUCGGAAUGUAAAGUGCUUUCAGUUGGGAAGAAACAAAUGACGGUACCAACAGAAGAAGUGACGGCUAAAUACGUG
rnacentral:rRNA from 1 species